GGAAAAACAGUCUGAAACAGAUAAAUAUACCACCAAGAACAUAUUAUUGGAGCUAAAUCUGCAAGUUCAUCUGAAUCCAAUAAUUCUGGGUUGAUAUGAAAUCAAGUACAUGAGAACUAUCUAAGCCUAUGUUUGGCUAAUGUUUAUUAAUGGUCUUUUGUAUGGAGAAUUGAUUAGCUCCGUUAACAGAGAAGGAUUAGCUCUAAGCAAUUUGAUUUUUCUCUUGGUCAGAAAUAUAAUUGAACCACCAAUUAUUUAAUUAUCCAAACAUUUUAAGGGUUUCACAAGUACUUCCCACUUAUCCACAACUCAUUUCAAUCUAUCUACAAUUUAAAUUGUUUAUAUGCAUUUCCCCAGACAAGCUUUAACUCUAAUUUUUAAGUUCGCAGCAACAUGUCAUCCUUUAUAUCGACAAGUUAUUUAGGAGAUCAAAUCCAAAAUUUAACAAUUAUUUUGUCAUAAUUUGGGUAACUCACUCACGGGUAAACAUAAAAAAUAAAGAAAUAACAAAAAAAUAAAUUCAUCUUCAACUGAACUCGGGAGGAAAUAUCCUAUAGGGAUUAUAGUGAUGCAUCAGCAAAAACUUACACAAUUUAGGCUGUACAACUAUGAGAAAACCUAGUUCGCGUAAAGCUUAUUUAGAGAAGCACAACCAACAUUCUCACUGUUAAUACAUAAUUUGGUUGGUGGUUCUAAUAAUAAUAGCGUGUUCUGCAAGUCAGAAUCUGAAUUGAAAAUAAUGACGAACACAAUUGCCUGCAGAAAGCGUGUAAUAAUUUAGAUACUACCUAUAGUCCAUCUCAUAAGAAUUGUCGCAUUAAAUGACUUUAACCUAAAUUUUAUAAGCUAGGAAAUAUACCAUGAGACCAUCUCAUGAAAGUCACCAAAUUAAUGAAUAUUUCACCUAACCCUAAUCUAGUGAGAUAAAUCUAGCCCUUUAUUUCUGACUUUUUGAUUUCUUUUAUGCAUUCAUUGUACAUUUGACAAUUCACCAUUUUAUCUACCAAUAGAUGUCUGUGAAGUACAUGAUACCGCGUUGAACAGCUAACGAGAAAAUCAACUCAAUUCAACAUAAAUGCAGAUGAUAUUUGUCACAUUAUUUUGGACAAUUGCUCUCGCUUACUGAUAGACUAACACAAAGCUUUUAACCUCACAUACAAUACGUUGUUUAGUUCCCAUAAGAUAAGAAAACACAAACACAUGCACACACAGAAAGUGGAAGACUGAAGUACCAUCUCCAUUGAACUGAUAUAUGAAGAUCUUUUAUUUAGUCUAAAUACUGAGGUUUUUGAAACAGAAAUGUAUGCUCAGCAUCCAAAUUGAUGCACGCUAGAAUAUCUAAGAAUUAGAGAAACAACAAUCAUCGCAAUGCAACAAGUCACAC
rnacentral:lncRNA from 1 species